UACAGAGGUGCCAAGCGUUAGGCGGAAUCACUGGGCUUAAAGCGCGUGUAGGUGGAUGGGUAAGUACCUUGUGAAAUCCCACGGCUCAACCGUGGAACUGCUGGGUAUACUGCUUGUCUUGAGGCACUCAGGGGCAGCUGGAACAAAUGGUGGAGCGGUGAAAUGCGUAGAUAUCAUUUGGAACGCCAAAGGCGAAAGCAGGCUGCUGGGAGUGAUCUGACACUGAGACGCGAAAGCCAGGGUAGCAAACGGG
rnacentral:rRNA from 1 species